GUACUAGCAUCCUAAAGUACAUAUACUAAAACAGGAAUGAUAGAGAAGAUUAGCAUGAUUUCUAAGCAAGGAUAAUAUGCAAAUUUGUGAAGAAUUCUAUUGUUAA
ensembl:snRNA U6 U6 spliceosomal RNA